rnacentral:rRNA from 1 species
UACGUAGGGGCCGAGCGUUGUCCGGAGUUAUUGGGCGUAAAGCGCGCGCAGGCGGCUUGGCGCGCCCGACGUGAAAGCCCCCGGCUUAACCGGGGAGGGUCGUCGGGUACGGUCAGGCUUGAGGGCGGGAGAGGGUGGUGGAAUUCCCGGUGUAGUGGUGAAAUGCGUAGAGAUCGGGAGGAACACCUGUGGCGAAGGCGGCCACCGUGGGC